rnacentral:rRNA from 1 species
GAUGAACGCUAGCGGCAGGCCUAAUUACAUGCAAGACGAACGGCAAGCUUGGUAGCAAUACUAGGCCUAGAGUGUCGUAAGGGUGCGUAACACGUAUGCAAUCUACCCGAAAACUGGAGCAUAGCUCCCCGAAAGGGGAAUUAACACUCCAUAAGAUCAUAGAAUGGCAUCAUUUAGUGAUUAAAAACUGAGGUGGUUUUCGGAUGAGCAUGCGUUUUGAUUAGUUAGUUGGCGGGGUAAUGGCCCACCAAGACGAUGAUCAAUAGGGGAACUGAGAGGUUGAUCCCCCACACUGGCACUGAGAUACGGGCCAGACUCCUACGGGAGGCAGCAGUAGGGAAUAUUGGACAAUGGGUGAGAGCCUGAUCCAGCCAUGCCGCGUGCAGGAAGAAGGCCUUCUGGGUUGUAAACUGCUUUUGCCAGGGGAUAAAAUUUCUUUGCGAAGAAAAUUGAAGGUACCUGGUGAAAUAAAGCCACGGCUAACUACGUGCCAGCCGCCGC